AGCGAACGCUGGCGGCAGGCCUAACACAUGCAAGUCGAACGAACUCUUCGGAGUUAGUGGCGGUCGGGUGAGUAGCACGUGGGAAGGUGCCGUUUGGUUCGGAAUACCUCAGUGUAACUUGUGCUAAUACCGAAUGUGCCCUGCGGGUGCAGGAUUUAUCGCCAUUGGAGCGGCCCGGGUCUGAUUAGCUAGUUGGUGAGGUAACGGCUCACCAAGGCGACGAUCAGUAGCUGGUCUGAGAGGAUGACCAGCCACACUGGGACUGAGACACGGCCCAGACUCCUACGGGAGGCAGCAGUGGGGAAUCUUGCGCAAUGGGCGAAAGCCUGACGCAGCCAUGCCGCGUGAAUGAUGAAGGUCUUAGGAUUGUAAAAUUCUUUAACCGGGGACGAUAAUGACGGUACCCGGAGAAGAAGCCCCGGCUAACUUCGUG
rnacentral:rRNA from 1 species